AGUCAAUACAAAUAUCUUCACCAAGCUUUGGUCCACUCAUUGACUCUUGAUUGCUCGUUUAUAAAGAGAGAGCACUUCAAUGCAUAUAGGAAGAAAUUCAACAAAAAGGAGAUAUAAAAGCAGUUUGAGAAACUACAACUGACUCAUGAACAUAAGUCGGAUACGGAACUGGCAGCUACCGAUAGAAAUAGGCUUCUGACAGAAAAGAACAGGAAACACGCGGAUAUACCAGGUGAUUCCAACAGACCACGUCUUUAUAAGUUUUUGAAACCAGGCGAAUCUGAUUACAUCAAUGUGAUAUACAUCAAC